GAGGAACGGCCUUGCUCCAUUUCUGCAGUGAGCUGGCUCUUUAUGUUUCUAAAUUCUCAACAACCUGCUGUGCUCAUCUGCCACUGUCCCUGGACCUGCAGAUUUCUGUCUCUUCUCUGCCACAUUUCCUCUGAUGCCACUCUAUCUUUAUUUUGAGAGAGAGGAGCUUUUAUUUCCAACAGCGGGAGAUAGAGUCAUGACAUAAACGCUUGUAAUCCAGGCCACGAUUUCAGGAGUACCAAAUUCCAGGUUCAGAUCAUCUGCUCUGGAAUAGACUCCCUCAUGGUCAAAAUUGGACAGAGCUCUGCUAGCCUCCAGGUACAUAUCCGUCCUGCACGCCAAUGGGCUCAGCCUGGAAAGACUGCAUGUUAUUUACUGAGUAGCAGGCCGUGCUAGUGUUGCCUGGGAGAAUCAUUUACUGUUGCCUGGUAAAUAAAUCCAGCUGCUCUAUUCUCUAAGGCAGCCUGGAUGCAGGGAGAAGCGGACAGGCAGCGGGCUCAGUUGCCAGCAGCUGCAAAUCAGAGCUUACUCCCUGGUGAGACAGACAGUGCAGGGCCCGGGGAAGAACGCCUGGUGGGUUUUCUCUGCCUGGAGCAUCUUCGAGAAGGCACGUUUCAUCCACCCAUAAGACUUAAGAGAGACAGAAGAAAUGCCUUCUCCACGGGCAGAUGGAGUGAGCAGUGUAGAAUCCAUCACCACAGUUCAAGGCAUCUCAGAGACUCAUUUCUGAAGCCAGGGCAGAAGAAUCGUGCUGCAUCUCUACAGAAACGAACUGGGACUGGUGGAUCAACAGUUAUUACAGAAGUUGAAAGAAGGAAGGAAAGAAGAAAACAUGAGUAG
rnacentral:lncRNA from 9 species